UACGAAGGGGGCUAGCGUUGUUCGGAAUUACUGGGCGUAAAGGGAAUGUAGGUGGUGACGUAAGUCAGAUGUGAAAGCCCUGGGCUUAACCCGGGAAGUGCAUUUGAUACUGCGUUGCUAGAGUAUGAGAGAGGAAAGCGGAAUUUCCAGUGUAGGAGUGAAAUCCGUAGAUAUUGGAAGGAAUACCGAUGGCGAAGGCAGCUUUCUGGCUCGUAACUGACACUGAGAUUCGAAAGCGUGGGUAGCAAACAGG
rnacentral:rRNA from 1 species